rnacentral:rRNA from 1 species
ACUUUAUUUGAUUUCCUUCGGGACUGAUAUUUUGUGACUGAGUGGCGGACGGGUGAGUAACGCGUGAGCAACCUGCCUUUCAGAGGGGGAUAACAGUUGGAAAUGACUGCUAAUACCGCAUAAGACCACGGAGCCGCAUGGCUCCGUGGGAAAAACUCCGGUGGUAUAAGAUGGACCCGCGUUGGAUUAGCUAGUUGGUGAGGUAACGGCCCACCAAGGCGACGAUCCAUAGCCGACCUGAGAGGGUGACCGGCCACAUUGGGACUGAGACACGGCCCAAACUCC